rnacentral:rRNA from 1 species
GAUGAACGCUAGCGGCAGGCCUAAUACAUGCAAGUCGGACGGGAUUUGGGAGCUUGCUCCUAAUGAGAGUGGCGCACGGGUGCGUAACACGUAUGUAACCUACCUUAAUCAGGGGGAUAGCCUCUCGAAAGAGAGAUUGACACCGCAUAAUAUAUUUUUAUGGCAUCGUAGAAAUAUCAAAUAUUUAUAGGAUUAAGAUGGGCAUGCGGAACAUUAGCUAGUUGGUAAGGUAACGGCUUACCAAGGCUACGAUGUUUAGGGGAUCUGAGAGGAUGACCCCCCACACUGGUACUGAGACACGGACCAGACUCCUACGGGAGGCAGCAGUAAGGAAUAUUGGUCAAUGGGCGCAAGCCUGAACCAGCCAUGCCGCGUGCAGGAAGACGGCCCUAUGGGUUGUAAACUGCUUUUGUACCGGAAUAAACCCUUUUACGUGUAGAAGGCUGAAUGUACGGUAAGAAUAAGGAUCGGCUAACUCCGUGCCAGCAGCCGCCGUAAAAC